GAUGAACGCUAGCUACAGGCUUAACACAUGCAAGUCGAGGGGCAUCAGGAAGAAAGCUUGCUUUCUUUGCUGGCGACCGGCGCACGGGUGAGUAACACGUAUCCAACCUGCCCUUUACUCGGGGAUAGCCUUUCGAAAGAAAGAUUAAUACCCGAUGGCAUAAUGAUUCCGCAUGGUUUCAUUAUUAAAGGAUUCCGGUAAAGGAUGGGGAUGCGUUCCAUUAGGUUGUUGGUGAGGUAACGGCUCACCAAGCCUUCGAUGGAUAGGGGUUCUGAGAGGAAGGUCCCCCACAUUGGAACUGAGACACGGUCCAAACUCCUACGGGAGGCAGCAGUGAGGAAUAUUGGUCAAUGGGCGCUAGCCUGAACCAGCCAAGUAGCGUGAAGGAUGAAGGCUCUAUGGGUCGUAAACUUCUUUUAUAUAAGAAUAAAGUGCAGUAUGUAUACUGUUUUGUAUGUAUUAUAUGAAUAAGGAUCGGCUAACUCCGUGCCAGCAGCCGCGGUAAUACGGAGGAUCCGAGCGUUAUCCGGAUUUAUUGGGUUUAAAGGGAGCGUAGGUGGACUGGUAAGUCAGUUGUGAAAGUUUGCGGCUCAACCGUAAAAUUGCAGUUGAUACUGUCAGUCUUGAGUACAGUAGAGGUGGGCGGAAUUCGUGGUGUAGCGGUGAAAUGCUUAGAUAUCACGAAGAACUCCGAUUGCGAAGGCAGCUCACUGGACUGCAACUGACACUGAUGCUCGAAAGUGUGGGUAUCAAACAGGAUUAGAUACCCUGGUAGUCCACACAGUAAACGAUGAAUACUCGCUGUUUGCGAUAUACAGUAAGCGGCCAAGCGAAAGCAUUAAGUAUUCCACCUGGGGAGUACGCCGGCAACGGUGAAACUCAAAGGAAUUGACGGGGGCCCGCACAAGCGGAGGAACAUGUGGUUUAAUUCGAUGAUACGCGAGGAACCUUACCCGGGCUUAAAUUGCAGUGGAAUGAUGUGGAAACAUGUCAGUGAGCAAUCACCGCUGUGAAGGUGCUGCAUGGUUGUCGUCAGCUCGUGCCGUGAGGUGUCGGCUUAAGUGCCAUAACGAGCGCAACCCUUAUCUUCAGUUACUAACAGGUUAUGCUGAGGACUCUGGAGAGACUGCCGUCGUAAGAUGUGAGGAAGGUGGGGAUGACGUCAAAUCAGCACGGCCCUUACGUCCGGGGCUACACACGUGUUACAAUGGGGGGUACAGAAGGCAGCUAGCGGGUGACCGUAUGCUAAUCCCAAAAUCCUCUCUCAGUUCGGAUCGAAGUCUGCAACCCGACUUCGUGAAGCUGGAUUCGCUAGUAAUCGCGCAUCAGCCACGGCGCGGUGAAUACGUUCCCGGGCCUUGUACU
rnacentral:rRNA from 1 species